rnacentral:snRNA from 1 species
GUGCUCGCGUCGGCCCACACAUAUGCUAAAAUUGGAACAAUGUAGAGAAGAUUAGCGUGCCCCCCUGAGCAGAAGGAUGACAUGCAAAUUCGUGACGCAUUCCAUAUUUUU